AUUAUCGCGAAUUGAGCUUUCAUUACCGAGGGUACAAUUGACAUGAUUUUUCUGCACUCGUUAAUAGAAACCAAACUCAAAAUUUGAAACCUAAUACCGAGGGUUAAAACAAUAAUAACGACGUGGGUUCUGUAUAUUAUUUUUGUGUCAUUAAGUUUAAUAAUGACACAAAAAUAAAAAAUAAAACUAUAGGAAUAAAAAUAAGAGAUAUAUUCGAAGAGAUUAUAAUUACACUUUGGCACAAUCAAAUACUAUUAAAUAGUUAACUUACCAAGUACCCACGAGUACCUGUAUAACAAGUUAUAAGUUGAAUGUUUUACAUGUAAAACAACAAGAAUUAUUCAUACCUAGUAAAGUUUCACUAAGGACGUAUAUGACAAAUAGGCCUGCCUGUUAUUAAAUAAAGUAAUUUUUAAAUGCUAUAAAGAUUGAUAAGAAUUUGUCUUACUGACAUAAUUAGCUGCACAAAAAAAACAAGUAAGUAACAUUUUCUCAUAAGGCACAGCGUAAAUUAUAGUCGAAAUUUUAUAAGCUGGACGUUUACCACCUGAGUGAAAGUUUACCACAGUGAAAUGGUAAACGUCCACCUUAUAAAAUUUCGACUAUAAGUAUAUAAAAACAUGACAUUUUUUAAUUCUAAUAUUUUUGAUAAGGUCAUUAAGUUAAAUAAAGUCUCUCACAUAUUAUGCGUUAUAAUUUACCCGUUUAUAAUUAACAAAUCACAGUACUUUUCUUAUUGCUGAUUCUUAUACUAAAAAAAAUCAUGUCUGAGAUUUUGGACUACUGUAUAAAUAAAAUUAUAUUUAAAAAAAAUCUAAUCGGAAUUGUCCGGCAGUUGGGUACCCUUCCUUGUCAGAGUAAUAACUGAAUCAGAAAACAGAAGAAUUUAAAUCUGAUAGUGAUAAAUUUUAUCAACGAAAUCUGUACUUGCGGUACCCUAAAUGCGAUAUUUCAAUACAAUACCAAAUAGUCACUCGAUAAUAGAUAACUCUUUAAGAGCCUAUUACCGACCCAUUCGAUAUUUCUCUGGGUCGGUAAUAGAUUUCUAUACAUUCUAUCACCGAGGGUAAUCUGAUCAUACCAUCGGUCAUAGGCUUAAUUUGGAGUUUGAUUAAACCUAAUUCCGACCCAUAAAAAGAAUAAAACACAGAUGGUUUUUCAAAUCAAAUCAAACACGUAUAUUACAAGCUUCUUGUAAAGACAAAAUCACAUAACCGGCAAGUAAAUUUUAGGUUUUAUCUCAAAAUAAAAAAAAGUUGACAGAUUAAGGGUUCCCAUAGAAACAAGGAAAUCGGUGCUGAAGUUUUUGUUAAAAAUUAAGGGUUAGUUGAAUACUUUUCAUACCACGGAAAUAGCUCUUUAAUAGCGUGAAUAGAUCAAGAUUGGAAUAAAUAAAAGAAAUUAUAAAAGUGAUAAUUUGUACCAAAACUAAAGAGUAAAUAACAAAACUACCACUUUUUCUAUUACCGUGGCAUACCACGGAAUUACUUACCACAGAAGAAAUUGGCGCCUAUCACCGCUGUAUUUUAUUUUCCAUUUUAAAGGUAUUUCCCGGUCAAAAACUAAGUUAAAAGUAAUUCAAAAUCGUGUAGAAAACAAUACACAACCUCUUAAAAGGCAUUGCACUAGUUUAUUUGCCAUAACUAUUACGUAAAACACUAAGUAAGAUUGGAGUGCACUUACCUGUGGCGUCACGCGUCUGUAUGGAACAACCGGUUCUUGCGCCGCCGUCGCACAAACUGACGAAUCGCGAGUUUUUUGUUACACUCACACAAAUGCACACUAAUGGGCACGAUAGACCAAUGAAUGAGCUUGUUUUGUGUAUGCUUUAUUUCUUAGGGAAUAGAUCUGUUUGCUUGCAAAAUGCGUAUUUGUAAACACCGCGGUGUUAGACGUCGAUUUUGAUACCCGCGUUAAUAGCCGCCGUUACCUUAACA